rnacentral:rRNA from 1 species
GACAGAGGUCCCGAGCGUUAGGCGGAAUCACUGGGCUUAAAGCGUGUGUAGGCGGACUUCUAGGUACCUUGUGAAAUCCCACGGCUUAACCGUGGAACUGCUUGGUAUACCGGUUGUCUUGGGUCAUCUAGGGGCGAGCGGAACAAACGGUGGAGCGGUGAAAUGCGUAGAUAUCGUUUGGAACGCCAAUGGUGAAAACAGCUCGCUGGGGAUGCACCGACGCUGAGACACGAAAGCCAGGGGAGCGAACGGG